rnacentral:rRNA from 1 species
UACAGAGGGUGCAAGCGUUGUUCGGAAUUAUUGGGCGUAAAGGGCGCGUAGGCGGUGCGGUAAGUCUGCGGUGAAAUCUCCCGGCUCAACUGGGAGUCUGCCGUGGAAACUGCCGUGCUUGAGUGUGGGAGAGGUGAGUGGAAUUCCCGGUGUAGCGGUGAAAUGCGUAGAUAUCGGGAAGAACAUCGGUGGCGAAAGCGCUCUACUGGACGGUAUCUGACACUGAGGGACGAAAGCUAGGGGAGCGAAUGGG